rnacentral:misc_RNA from 1 species
AAAAUAAAGAUUAAAAAAAAAAAAGAUAAAUUACCAUACCAUAACCAGUAAGUGCUUGUUUUGUUCAGGUAAUCAUCGAAUUGAAACCUGCUUCUGUCUCCACCUCCCUUAAAUUUAGAAAAGAAAAAGAAAAAAAACUAGUAUAUUGUCAUUGUUUCAAGCUGAAAUGAAACUGACAGAGAAAACAUGAGACUCAUAAUGGAUUUCAUAGUUUCUACCUACAAUAAUGCUACCAGUGAAGGCAUUAAAAGUUUUCUCCCAAAGUAUCUAAUUGCUCAUACUCAUAUGUUCAAACAUCAAAGUACAUUCUAGCCAUUUAAUCAAUGCAAAAAUAAAAAAGGAAUUAAUUAUCACUUUUAUUUCAAAGAAAAUUAAAGAGCACAGUUCAUAUUAUGUUCUUCAAAAGUAUUAAUUAGAUCAAUGUUAUCCUUCUUCCCAUACUUCAUUAUGCCAAUAACGAAUCCUAGUUUUGCCUUCGCCAAAUAUAUUAGAAUUCUUAUUACACUUCCACUUGGCCUUUUACUCUUAUAUGUUAUUCCUAAUUGUGUUAACCCACUACCAUAACCCACCCCCUUCUCUCUUUAUGAAAGCAAUAAUCACACACCAGCAAUACAAACCUAAAGAGAAAUGUCUCCAAACUGAAUUCCUCUUCUUCAUUUGAUCUUAUUAGGUAUUUUUUUCUCUAAAACAAUUAGAUAAGCCAAAAUCACUUGAUCUGGUUUACAUCCAAUUCAAUUUUCAUCCAUUCAAGUAUCUAGUGCUUAAUUUUAGUUGCAUAAUUGUUUUCAAUAAUAAAAUAGUCACUCUCAAAAUGCCAUUUGUUACAUGCAAAAAUUUGAAAUUUGAGUAAUUGUGUAUCCAUAACGCUUUUUAGGUCUCCAAAAAAAAAA